UGUAUGGCUCUGAGGAAGAGCCUGUACUGUAGUCUUUGACCCUUAGCUUUGGCCAAUGCAGUCUCCAGAAUCUUCCCGUUCCUUCCAUACACGCAUGCCUUGGGGGCGGCAGCUAAGCACACAACCAUUGGCCUUCAUCAUACUAAGCUCCCAUGCUCUUUCCUCCAACACUAUUCUCCACCGCCUGGCAAAUGAAGUGUGUGUUGAAAAGAACCUAGGCCAUGACCCAUGUCCAGGCUCCGGCUUGACCGUCGGCUCCUGGCACCAAGUCUCAGGCAGGAGCAGCUGUUUUCCACCUCUUCUCAGACUAGCUCUAUUUUUAUCUGGUGACCUUUAACGAGAUCUCCCAGGCAAGCUCAAGGUGCCCUGCUGGGCCCCUCUAGGGAGAAGGGGCUGGAAGUUUCUCCCGAGGCUCUGCCGUGCUGCUUUCUCUACCCCACCCAGCUCAGGGUGUCUAGAAUAUCUCUUCGGCCAGGGCAGAGCAAAGUGUAAAGUUCCCUGGGGCCAUGGGUCUCAAGAAUCCCAGACCCAUGCUUUUCUGGGAUCAUUGAUGGCUAGUUUUAGGUUUUCAAAACCGGGAAGAGACGAGAUGGCAGUCUAACACGGCUACCCUAGUCUAGGGUGUAUUACCUAUUUGGAAAGGGGUCCAUGUUGCAGAAUAUGCAAGUCAUGCCCAGGAUGCGCGGAGGAGACUCCGGUAUUGGGUAGAGUUGACUCCUGACCUCUGAGGAUUCUUGAAACUCACUCCAUAGUAUUAGAAAGCAAGGGAGGGUGAAGGGGGAGGUUCACAGGGCUUGAAUUCAGAGACAAACAUGGGUGGGCAGUCAAGGGGCUACUCCAGUAUGGGGCUGCCAUAGUGUCUAUAUUAUGCGCAGAAGAAUGGGUAUUGUUAUAUUCAUUGUCUUCACAUCUCUCUCUGGCCUGGCUCAUACCUGUAUCAGCCUUUGAGGCAUCUGUCCCCUUAACCUCAGUGACUCUGAUACCAGUCCCCAAGAGUGAGUCGGGGAAGAAUAGCUGAGUUCUGUGGUUUUCAUAGUCGAUGGACGGUAUCCCUUGAGAUUCCGAGCAGCAGCUUCAGAAUUCAGAGCCUGGGGAUGGGGGUGCUGGAGUUUGAUGAGGCACGCAUAUAUGUAGGUGGGGAAAAAAAUACCAGGAUGUUGUUAAAGGUAAGGGAUGAUGCGAUUUGGGGAUAAUUAAUAGAUUUACCCACAUAUCAGGGUGAUCUAGAGCCCCUUAGGAAGGCUAGGGGAAGCUAGGGUCAGGAUGGAAUAAAGUCAGGGUUGGAAUAGACAAGUGAUCUUGGUAGGUCCCUAUUGCCCGUGGGUUAACCAGGCCCUGGGAAAUGAGAGAGUACUUAGGUCCUACCUGGGGCAGCGUCCCUUGUAGCUAAGGAGUCCCAGGCUACGAUGCCUCCAGGAGAAGAGACCCUAUUAGAUAUCUAGUCAAUGCUGUGGCAUACACAGAUCAGCUUCUACCUGCAUUUCCUCAGAGAACCAGCAGGAGUCAGCUUUGAGAAACUACAGUUGUUUCUGCAGUUGUCAUAGCGACCACCUUCUCACUUAAAUAGUCUUCUCUAAAACCCACGACAGCUUGCCUGUAUCCUGCCUCGUGCCUCUUGUAGAAUUCAGAGCAAUAAAUGCGUUCUGCAUUCUUCUGC
rnacentral:lncRNA from 1 species